UCCUGGCUCAGGAUGAACGCUGGCGGCGUGCUUAACACAUGCAAGUCGAACGAUGAAGCCCAGCUUGCUGGGUGGAUUAGUGGCGAACGGGUGAGUAACACGUGAGUAACCUGCCCUUAACUCUGGGAUAAGCCUGGGAAACUGGGUCUAAUACCGGAUAGGAGCGCCUACCGCAUGGUGGGUGUUGGAAAGAUUUAUCGGUUUUGGAUGGACUCGCGGCCUAUCAGCUUGUUGGUGAGGUAAUGGCUCACCAAGGCGACGACGGGUAGCCGGCCUGAGAGGGUGACCGGCCACACUGGGACUGAGACACGGCCCAGACUCCUACGGGAGGCAGCAGUGGGGAAUAUUGCACAAUGGGCGCAAGCCUGAUGCAGCGACGCCGCGUGAGGGAUGACGGCCUUCGGGUUGUAAACCUCUUUCAGUAGGGAAGAAGCGAAAGUGACG
rnacentral:rRNA from 1 species